CCUACGGGGGGCAGCAGUGAGGAAUAUUGGACAGUGGGUGGAAGCCUGAUCCAGCCAUCCCGCGUGCAGGAAGACGGCCCUAUGGGUUGUAAACUGCUUUUAUCUGGGAUAAACCUACUUACGUGUAAGUAGCUGAAGGUACCAGAAGAAUAAGCACCGGCUAACUCCGUGCCAGCAGCCGCGGUAAUACGGAGGGUGCAAGCGUAAUCCGGAUUUAUUGGGUUUAAAGGGUCCGUAGGCGGACUAGUAAGUCAGUGGUGAAAUCCGUCAGCUUAACUGUCGAACUGCCAUUGAUACUGCUAGUCUUGAGUAAGGUUGAAGUGGCUGGAAUAAGUAGUGUAGCGGUGAAAUGCAUAGAUAUUACUUAGAACACCAAUUGCGAAGGCAGGUCACUAAGUCUUAACUGACGCUGAUGGACGAAAGCGUGGGGAGCGAACAGGAUUAGAUACCCCCGUAGUC
rnacentral:rRNA from 1 species